rnacentral:rRNA from 1 species
AGAGUUUGAUCCUGGCUCAGAUUGAACGCUGGCGGCAUGCCUUACACAUGCAAGUCGAACGGCAGCACGGAGCUUGCUCUGGUGGCGAGUGGCGAACGGGUGAGUAAUAUAUCGGAACGUACCCUAGAGUGGGGGAUAACGUGGCGAAAGUCACGCUAAUACCGCAUACGAUCUAAGGAUGAAAGUGGGGGAUCGCAAGACCUCAUGCUCGUGGAGCGGCCGAUAUCUGAUUAGCUAGUUGGUAGGGUAAAAGCCUACCAAGGCAUCGAUCAGUAGCUGGUCUGAGAGGACGACCAGCCACACUGGAACUGAGACACGGUCCAGACUCCUACGGGAGGCAGCAGUGGGGAAUUUUGGACAAUGGGCGAAAGCCUGAUCCAGCAAUGCCGCGUGAGUGAAGAAGGCCUUCGGGUUGUAAAGCUCUUUUGUCAGGGAAGAAACGGUGAGAGCUAAUAUCUCUUGCUAAUGACGGUACCUGAAGAAUAAGCACCGGCUAACUACGUGCCAGCAGCCGCGGUAAUACGUAGGGUGCAAGCGUUAAUCGGAAUUACUGGGCGUAAAGCGUGCGCAGGCGGUUUUGUAAGUCUGAUGUGAAAUCCCCGGGCUCAACCUGGGAAUUGCAUUGGAGACUGCAAGGCUAGAAUCUGGCAGAGGGGGGUAGAAUUCCACGUGUAGCAGUGAAAUGCGUAGAUAUGUGGAGGAACACCGAUGGCGAAGGCAGCCCCCUGGGUCAAGAUUGACGCUCAUGCACGAAAGCGUGGGGAGCAAACAGGAUUAGAUACCCUGGUAGUCCACGCCCUAAACGAUGUCUACUAGUUGUCGGGUCUUAAUUGACUUGGUAACGCAGCUAACGCGUGAAGUAGACCGCCUGGGGAGUACGGUCGCAAGAUUAAAACUCAAAGGAAUUGACGG